AGAACCAGGGUGAACGAAGCAGCAAAACCUACGUCGUCCUCUUCAGAGAUGGAUGUGGGAAUAUUGGAGAUCCCGGCAGAACUGUCGGCCCGAUUACGCAGUGCAGCAGGACGUCCUCAAGGAUCAGGAGUAACAGAAGUAGCUCUGCCACAGGUCAAAGCAGACCACAACCUCUCACUGCCCCAAGACAUUGACAGACACCCUUUCUCCAAAUAUG